UGGGGCGUCGUCUAACGGUAGGACAGCUGACUCUGGAUCAGUAAGUUGAGGUUCGAAUCCUUGCGCCCCAG
rnacentral:tRNA from 1 species